UACGGAGGGUGCAAGCGUUAAUCGGAAUUACUGGGCGUAAAGCGUACGUAGGCGGCUUGUUAAGCAAGAUGUGAAAUCCCCGGGCUCAACCUGGGAACUGCAUCUGAUACUGUCAGGCUAGAGUAGGUGAGAGGAAGGUAGAAUUCCAGGUGUAGCGGUGAAAUGCGUAGAGAUCUGGAGGAAUACCGAUGGCGAAGGCAGCCUUCUGGCAUCAUACUGACACUGAGGCUCGAAAGCGUGGGUAGCAAACAGG
rnacentral:rRNA from 1 species